UAAUUUUAUGGCUGAGCAUACCUGUACAUAAAGAUACUGUAUAUACAAACCCCUGCUUGCAUUGAGCAGCAACCGUGCUUACAAAUCACUCUAUAACAAAAACAUUUAUUUGCAUCUUGCAUUUCCAAUCCUUCUUACUACUUUUUCCCUAGCUGACCCUUUUUAUACCCUUCUCCUCCUGUACUAGUAAUGGUCAUGCCCCCUUUAUUAUACGUUUCUUAUUCUCCAACAUGCAACCAACUAUUCUGCAUAUUCUCCACCCCCGUGUCAGGUGAUCUUCCUGGUCACUUGCCAUGUUUUUUUUUUUUUUUUUUUUUUUUUUCCUCCCUGCACGUCAUUAGUGCGGGCUCCCACAUGAUGAGAGCAGGGCUUACCUGUCCCUCCCCUCUCCCCACUUGGAGGCAACGCCCCCUUUUCCACACUGACCCAUAGCAACGCAGGCUCCUUUACAGACCCCUCCCACCUUACUCCUCCCCCUCUCCUAUUUAAAAGCCAAGCAGCCCCACAAUGUCAGACAUUGCUGGAUGGCUGCAGCAGCUGUACACACUCUACACUGCUUGUGUCUUCUUCCCAUCUUCCGAUCCCUCUACUGACCUCUUUGGCCACUUUUUGUCAUUACAGGUAUGUCUCUAGCCUCAUAUAUAAAAUCUUGGUUCAGCUUUCUUUUUUGCGAUCCUUUUUUGCGUUCUUUUUCGUUUUUGUUGCCUGCGGCACCGUUGAUAUUAUCCUGUCCUCUUAUUUAUAUUUUGGACAGGUAAAAAUAUAUAUAUAUACAAUCAAUAAACUUUUACGCUGUGACACUUCGGGCCAAAGGUCUUGCUACGCUGUGAUUGAUAUUAGAUGCCAGUCCUCACUCCUCUCCUUACCAUCUGAGGCUUGCCAUGCGUCCCGAUUGCGAUGUCCUUUUAAGGGGUGUGCUGAGCCGUUGAAACUUCUCGGGUGAAAAGUUGUCUGUUACACUUUCUGACUCCACACAUACUUCGGUCCCUGAAGAAGGAAACCCGAAACGCGUUGGGCCCAGUAUUUAUAUUGUGGACUCUUCACCUCUUUUCCAAUACACCCUAUUAAUGUGUUGUUUUUAAACCUUUGUACUAUAUACGUUUACUGAACGUUGUUUGAUACCGUCCUGUUAUUAUUAAACUAUUAUAUAUUUUGUAUCUA